AGUGGGGAAUUUUGGACAAUGGGCGCAAGCCUGAUCCAGCCAUUCCGCGUGCAGGAUGAAGGCCCUCGGGUUGUAAACUGCUUUUGUACGGAACGAAACGCGCCGGGUUAAUACCCUGGCGUAAUGACGGUACCGUAAGAAUAAGCACCGGCUAACUACGUGCCAGCAGCCGCGGUAAUACGUAGGGUGCAAGCGUUAAUCGGAAUUACUGGGCGUAAAGCGUGCGCAGGCGGUGAUGUAAGACAGGUGUGAAAUCCCCGGGCUUAACCUGGGAACUGCAUUUGUGACUGCAUCGCUGGAGUGCGGCAGAGGGGGAUGGAAUUCCGCGUGUAGCAGUGAAAUGCGUAGAUAUGCGGAGGAACACCGAUGGCGAAGGCAAUCCCCUGGGCCUGCACUGACGCUCAUGCACGAAAGCGUGGGGAGCAAA
rnacentral:rRNA from 1 species